CCUACGGGACGCAGCAGUGGGGAAUAUUGCACAAUGGGCGCAAGCCUGAUGCAGCAACGCCGCGUGAGCGAAGAAGUAUUUCGGUAUGUAAAGCUCUAUCAGCAGGGAAGAAAAUGACGGUACCUGACUAAGAAGCUCCGGCUAAAUACGUGCCAGCAGCCGCGGUAAUACGUAUGGAGCAAGCGUUAUCCGGAAUUACUGGGUGUAAAGGGAGCGUAGACGGAUGUGCAAGUCUGAUGUGAAAGCCUUCGGCUUAACCGGAGUAGUGCAUUGGAAACUGGGAGACUUGAGUGCAGAAGAGGAGA
rnacentral:rRNA from 1 species